GGCCACCAUAUCCAGACAUCCUGAGAGGCACGGAGGAAGAUAAAGACAAGAAAAGUGAAGAUGUGCACUCCUGAUUCUCAGCGCAGGGAAACAUGAGGGAAUUUCACUGCAGUGGGAGGAUGGGAGCUGCAGACGUUCCUACCCAUCAAACACCCUGUUCUGGUAUUUGAAAGCCGGCUUUUGCUCGGGUGUCCGCUUCUAUCAGAGUCUUACCUGCCCCGGGUGAACUGAAAGGUCAGCUGUCUUUCUCACACUCCCUCUCUGGAAUCAGGGGACAUUUGCCUCUUGUGAACUAUAGGGCCAGUACACCUUUCUGACUUCUGGCAGAAUGUGAAUGGAUAUAUUCAGAAUGGCAUACUAUGGUAUUUGUGCAGUAUGCAUAUGUAUGUGCGCAGUAUGAGAUGUUUUUUGUAUGUGUUGUAUGAUCUGAAAUAUAUUUUUUUCAAUAUUCAGUAUACAACCUGUGCAUGUUGCAUUUAAAACUGUAUGCAAUUGACCUUCCAUAUUUUGUAUUUUAUGAAGAAAAAUCCCUGUCUUGACUCUUUACUUCAUCAGAGUGCCACAAGUUAAGACAAUUUACAAAAAAAAAAAAAAAAAAAUGGAUUAAAACUGCAAAAUAAACAUUUACUUAUGAUGGACCCCAAACAGGUUUCUUGAUCACUCCUCCCAUCUGCCAUAGAGUGCAACAGUGCCCGGCCACUUUUUCAGCAGCGUUGGUUCCGGAAGUAUUUUUUCCAUUCAUUUCUCCUAUAGGGAUUUUGAAAAAGUCUUUGUCAAAGCGUUAUAAGCGCUGAACCAAACCAACUAGCUACGAGGUGAAUCAUAAAAUUACAAACUUUGAUUUGAAGCAAAAAAAGUAUUUUAAAAACCGGACAAAAAUACAAAGGUAG